rnacentral:rRNA from 2 species
GAUCAGAAUGCCACGGUGAAUACGUUCCCGGGCCUUGUACACACCGCCCGUCACACCAUGGGAGUGGGCUGCAAAAGAAGUAGGUAGUUUAACCUUCGGGGGGACGCUUACCACUUUGUGGUUCAUGACUGGGGUGAAGUCGUAACAAGGUAGCGCUAGGGGAACCUGGCGCUGGAUCACCUCCUUAAACGAUGAU